rnacentral:rRNA from 1 species
CUUCUWCGGAGGGCAGCAGGCGCGCAAAUUGCCCAAUGUCAAAAAAAAACGAUGAGGCAGCGAAAAGAAAUAGAGCCGGCAGUGCCACUGGCAUUGCCGUUUUCAAUGGGGGAUAUUUAAACCCAUCCAAAAUCGAGUAUCAAUUGGAGGACAAGUCUGGUGCCAGCACCCGCGGUAAUUCCAGCUCCAAAAGCGWA